rnacentral:tRNA from 1 species
GGAGGGUACCGUUCAGUGGUAGAGCGCACGCUUAGCAUGCAUGAGGUCCUGGGUACAAUCCCCAGUCCCUCCA